rnacentral:rRNA from 1 species
AGAGUUUGAUCCUGGCUCAGGAUGAACGCUAGCGGCAGGCUUAACACAUGCAAGUCGAGGGGUAACAGGUUUUAGUUUACUAGAAUGCUGACGACCGGCGCACGGGUGAGUAACGCGUAUACAAUUUACCUUUUACAGGGGGAUAGCCUUUAGAAAUGAAGAUUAAUACCCCAUGGUAUUAUAGAUUGGCAUCAAUUUAUGAUUAAAGCUUCGGCGGUAAGAGAUGAGUAUGCGUCCUAUUAGCUAGAUGGUAAGGUAACGGCUUACCAUGGCGACGAUAGGUAGGGGUCCUGAGAGGGAGAUCCCCCACACUGGUACUGAGACACGGACCAGACUCCUACGGGAGGCAGCAGUGAGGAAUAUUGGACAAUGGAGGCAACUCUGAUCCAGCCAUGCCGCGUGCAGGAAGACGGCCCUAUGGGUUGUAAACUGCUUUUAUAGAGGAAGAAACCUGGGGACGUGUCCCUGGCUGACGGUACUCUACGAAUAAGCACCGGCUAACUCCGUGCCAGCAGCCGCGGUAAUACGGAGGGUGCAAGCGUUAUCCGGAAUCAUUGGGUUUAAAGGGUCCGUAGGCGGGCGAUUAAGUCAGAGGUGAAAUCCCACAGCUCAA